AUUGAACGCUGGCGGCAGGCCUAAUACAUGCAAGUCGAGCGAGCGGCGGACGGGUGAGUAAUGUAUGGGGCUCUGCUCGAUAGAGGGGGAUAACUACUGGAAACGGUGGCUAAUACCGCAUACUAUCGGAUGAACCUAUAUGGGAUUAGCUUGUAGGUGGGGUAAAGGCUCACCUAGGCGACGAUCUCUAGCUGGUCCGAGAGGAUGAUCGGCCACACUGGGACUGGGACACGGCCCAGACUCCUACGGGAGGCAGCAGUGGGGAAUAUUGCACAAUGGGCGAAAGCCGGAUACAGCCAUGCCGCGUGUAUGAAGAAGGCCUUAGGGUUGUAAAGUACUUUCAGCGGGGAGGCGUUACCCGCAGAAGAAGCACCGGCUAACUCCGUGCCAGCAGCCGCGGUAAUUC
rnacentral:rRNA from 1 species